rnacentral:rRNA from 1 species
UACGUAGGGUGCAAGCGUUAAUCGGAAUUACUGGGCGUAAAGCGUGCGCAGGCGGUUUUGUAAGACAGAGGUGAAAUCCCCGGGCUCAACCUGGGAACUGCCUUUGUGACUGCAAGGCUUGAGUGCGGCAGAGGGGGAUGGAAUUCCGCGUGUAGCAGUGAAAUGCGUAGAGAUGUGGAGGAACACCGAUGGCGAAGGCAGCCUCCUGGGCCAGCACUGACGCUCAUGCACGAAAGCGUGGGGAGCAAACAGG